UCAUUUCAUGACCUCUUCUCCUCCCCAUCAUCGCGACUCCCAUCUUUGCCCCAAUGCCACAGCCAACGCCAUCACCCGAUUCCGCUGGCACCACUGAUCCACCACUGCCUUGCUCCUCAUGCGCAUCGCUGCCACCUCGACACCACUGCUCGAUCUCAAUUUCCUAGUUGUUGACCGGGUAGGAGCUUCUAUAGCCCAAUCCACCGUCGCCUCUCCCCUUUCGAUCGUGCCAUAGAUUUGGAUCCACCCCAUCGCUCUCUAUCUGAGCCCAACUCAGCCGUCAGUCGCCACUCAUCUGGCCACAAGAAAAUUGGCGACCAUAAACUCUACUGAAUCCUUGCCACCAUAGUAGUCGGCAAUCCCUGAGGCAUUGAGUGUUGUUGGGUCAGAUUCAUAAUUGUUGAAGAGGGAGCCAAGCUACGUGUUGUAGAGGAUUUGAGCUGGAUGUGAUCUCUCGGACUUGAAGAUGGUUGGAAUGAUCUACAGAUAAAGGCAGAUACUUCUUGACUUGUUUCUGUCAGUAGACUCACAAUGUAAAUGAUAUAGGUGUAGAAGAUGUCACCAAGGAGGUGAUAGAGGACGUAGAGGUGGAGUAACUGAGUAGAUGAGAUGGAAUGCAUAACACACUGUCCAAGGAGCUUAAGAGCCUGUUAAUAAAUGUAGUCUUUUGAUUGUGUGAGUUGGAGACUAUUCAUUUUAUGUUUUCAUAUUUUGUCAUUGGGAGUUUAAAAAAAAAAUUCAUUCGAAAGAUAUAUAUUGAGAAUUGAAGUUUGUAUGUGAUGAAAUUGUCUUUGGGUCUAAAGUAAAUGUGGUAUGCUAUAUGUUGGAUGUCUUAGGAAGGGAGUUAUGGGUCA